GUGCUCACUUCGGCAGCACAUAUACUAAAAUUGGAAUGAUACAGAGAAGAUUAGCAUGGCCCCUGCGCAAGCAUGACACACAAAUUCGUGAAGCGUUCUAUAUUUUU
rnacentral:snRNA from 1 species